ensembl:lncRNA
AUGGCCAUGGGCCCACCCUGCACAUCACAGCACUGCUUAAAGUCAGAGAAACGAAGUUGUGAACUACUGACUGAAGAGCAUAGAACAGAUAUCUUCAACAAUUUCUGGUCCAUGCCUUUCUGGGAGACACGCAAGCUGUAUAUCCAGACUCUAGUCCAAAAUGUGCCCAUAAAACAGAAGAAAGGUGGUGUUGCAUCAAGGAGAACAACGUCCCUAUUAUACCACCUGCAACUGGCAGAUAGACGUAAACUACCUGUGUGUAAGAAUCUUUUCUGUUCAACACUUGGCAUCGCCCCCAGAACCAUCGGAUCAUGGUUAAAAUCCAAAACUGAUCCGUGUAAACCCAAGAUCAACAAGACUGGCCCAUGUGUGCCCAUAUCAGAUGUUGACCAGACCUUCCUGAAAGAAUGGCUCUCUGGACUGCCUACAGUCCCAUCCCAUUACUGCCGUCAGGUUCCCUCCUAUCAGGAAAAGAAGUUCCUGGAGCCGGGAACAGUUCUAAGUGAUCUUCACAAGGAAUAUCAGAAAGCUGCUGGUGAAAAUGGAGCGCGUGCUGUGAGUGAGACAUAUUUUCGAAAUGUGUUCAGUGAGCAGAAUUACUCCGUGUUCAUACCAAAAAAAGACCAGUGUGAUGUAUGUGUCAGCGCCAAGGUAGGAAAUACAGAUCAGGAUACCCUUACUACUCACUUGAAAUUAAAGGCUCAGGCUCAAGCUGAAAAAGCUAAGGAUAAAAAGGAAUCCAGUGACAAACUUUCAGUGUGGACAAUGGACCUUCAAUGCGUUCUUCUGUGCCCCAAGACAAAAGCAAGUACAAUGUAUUACAAAACUAAAUUACAGAUGCACAACUUUACUUGCUUCAACAUGAACAACAAAGAUGGAUAUUGUUACGCUUGGGAAGAGCAUGAAGGCUCCCUCAGCAGUGAGGUUUUUGCCCAUCUGCAGUCCAAACACUUCGAAUCAAUCCUAGAGGCCAACGGAAACAUUGAGAAAGUCAUUGUCUGGAGUGAUGGCUGUGGAUAUCAAAAUCGGUGUGGUGCCAUCAGCAACACCUACCUUCAUCUGGCCAUGAAGCAUGGUGUCACCAUAGAGCAAAAGUUUCUGGUUGCUGGCCACACACAAAUGGAGUGUGACUCCAUGCAUAGCCUCAUUGAGCGGCGCAUCGUCAAAGAUAUUCACACUCCACGUGAUUACAUUGUCAUCUUUGAGACUGCACGAAUACAUCCAUCCCCAUACAAGGUGACCCAGCUAUACCACAAUGACUUCAUGAAGUUAUCUGGGGCCUACGUCACCAAUAUUCGACCAGGUAAAAAAGUUGGUGACCCCACAGUCCAUGGCCUCCGGGCUCUCCAGUACUUGGCUGAUGGUCGAAUCCGGUACAAGUUGGAUUUUGAGUCUGAAUGGGAGGACCUGCCUCAGCGAAUCAACAUCCCCAAAGAACCAUUCCACUGGGUCCCACUCUUUCCUGCCCAACUGCCAAUUACUCUCAGGAAAUUCAAUGACUUGCAGGCAAUGAAACCAGUACUACCAAGAGUAGCCCACCAGUACUAUGACAACCUCCCUCAUCAAUAG